rnacentral:rRNA from 1 species
GCGUUGUCCGGAUUUAUUGGGCGUAAAGAGCUCGUAGGCGGCUUGGCAAGUCGGGUGUGAAACCUCCAGGCUCAACCUGGAGACGCCACUCGAUACUGCCAUGGCUAGAGUCCGGUAGGGGACCACGGAAUUCCUGGUGUAGCGGUGAAAUGCGCAGAUAUCAGGAGGAACACCGGUGGCGAAGGCGGUGGUCUGGGCCGGCACUGACGCUGAGGAGCGAAAGCGU